rnacentral:misc_RNA from 1 species
GAUGAAGAACGCAGCGAAAUGCGAUACGUAAUGUGAAUUGCAGAAUUCAGUGAAUCAUCGAGUCUUUGAACGCACAUUGCGCCCCCUGGUAUUCCGAGGGGCAUGCCUGUUCGAGCGUCAUUUCAACCCCUCAAGCUCAGCUUGGUGUUGGGCUGCGCCAGCGUGCUGGCGGGCCUUAAAAUCAGUGGCGGUGCCGCGUGGGCUCCAAGCGUAGUAGCAUCUCUCGCUCUGGGGACCCGGCGGUUGCCUGCCAGACAAUCACUAAAAAAACAAAAGGUUUGACCUCGGAUCAGGUAGGGAUACCCGCUGAACUUAAGCAUAUCAAUAAGCGGAGGA